UCAGCAGUGUCAAAGUGUAGCAAGCCAGCCCUGCUACAUUUUGGGAGCCCCCAGCUCCUGCCCUGACGGUAUUCAUGGGCAGGGGGAGACCAGCCCUCAUGAACUCCAGUCUGGGAGUUCCCGGUUAACUAACACGGAAUUAAGAGAGCCUCCAUAUGGGAAUGCAAAGUUUCUGUUGCUGAGUAACUUUUGUUGGCAUUUUCUUUACAUAGAAACAGUGAGUCAGAAGAGGUCUCCCGGACCAUCUAGUCUGACCCCCGGCUCCACUCACAACAUGCAGAACUCUGCUGACUUGUGUUGCUGCUCUGAAACGCAGCUGCUCUGUUGGAUGUGUGUGCUUCUCCUCUGCUUAAAUUCUCUUUGGGCUAGCUAUAGCUUCUGCAAUUUUGGACAACUGGGAGAGCUGCACGUGAGCUGCAACACAUUUCCAGACUUGUUGAGGGCGAGGAGAGAAGAGGAACAGGGUUAUUGCUGACUUUUAUUUGCCUUCCCACACCCUGCUUUGGCUCGGUUGCAGUGGCAGCCUUCCUUCUGGUCAAAUGCUGGCACCCUUUGUCUUGGCAUCAGCUAAUGGACGAAGAGCAAGGAAGCAAAUGUUUUCCUGCUUCAGUAACACUUGGGAGUGAAGUUGUGCAGCUCUAUUUUCGUUAAAAAUGACACCUGUCAGUGUGUGGAAGUGGUCAGAACUCUUUCUGGAGAAGAAUGUAAAACACUUGGGGACAAUCCUGCAAAGGGCAAUCAAGGGUUAUCAAGGAAGAAGCAUGUAGACCAGCACAAACUCCUUCCAAGAAAGAACUCUGGAUGUACUAUAUCAAUCUGUUCCUAGAAUAAGAUUAAUGACACCAACUGUUGCCAGUUAAAAAUGGAGGCAGCCUCCAUUCUCCUAGCAGAACAGGAACAGAAGUUGGCUUGCUUCGAGGCUUUAUUUCUUGGGGUGCUCGUGCUGGGGAAGAGUUUUCCUAUAGUUUCAAGGUGGAAAGCUUAAUUAAGUAGUUGGAUUUUUAUAGAAGAAGAAAGCAAAGACAAAUCUCUAAAGUGCUGUAUUGUUUCAGUGAAGUUCACUGCUGCUCAGUGGAAGAUUCCCUACUUGUGUGUUUUGACAUUUGGCUCAAGUUGCUUGUUUCCAUUAUUCAGAGUUGCCUGGAAAUUUUUAAAGGAAAAGUAAGUGCUGGGGGCAAGGAAAGGAAAUGUGCUUCCUUACUUUGUAUUUCCCAUCUGUAUAGAUCCCAAACAAACUAUUGUUGGAAUGCCUGAAUAGUCUGUUCACUUCACCCUCUGUUGCUGCAUUUUGUUUUUGCUUCAGCUCGUGUUAGUGAUCACUCCAGUUCUGAUCUUUUAUUUUUCCUGGCCUGAGCACUUCUCUCAGGGUGUGGGCUCAGGUUCACUUUAUUAGCAUGCCGAGCACCUGCUUCCACCUAAUUGUGAUGGCUCUGCAAAAGGAGGGCCACACCUCCAGCUGUCUCCAUGGAACUGUGAAGGUGGAACUGUCUAAGUUGAGAGAGACCCACCUGCUCCGCCCUGAAGCAGUGAUGGGGACAUUCAUAUGCUGGAUGAGUAGAGAUGCAUACAUGCAGCCAAGGCAGUGUUUUUCUUCAAAGGGCAAAAUUAAUGGAUCGGCUAUAAGAAGCCCUGUACAGCAGGGACCAGGCAGUUUGAAAAAACACAUUCUUUCCUUAAGAGCUGUUCCUGCUUUUAAGAUCUUUCAAGGGAGGCCCAGUCACCCCCCUGUUGCCCUUCUGGUGGCAGAAAACAUGUUUUUAUUUAGGAGGGCCUUUGGCAUAUAAACUGGUCUGAAGCUGUGAAAGGAUUUUUAACUGCUUGGAUUAUGGUCAUUUCUGUUAUGGUUGCAUGUCAAUUGUUUUAGUUCAUUUGUUUUUCUGCUCUUACUUUAGGGUUUUUAAAAAUUGAUUUUAUUAAAAUUUCCAUGUGUGGUAGGAUAUUUAUUUUAAUAAAUAAACAAAUAAGGCAUUGCGUCAAUAGUUUGAAAAGAACAUAGUAUGACUUUCCAAUGAAAAACUAGAGAUGUUAUGAGAGGACUCGUAUCAUACCACUCACUCAUGAAAAGAACCAGGAAGCAAAACAGCACUCAGAGAGAAGAAAUGGAGCAGACUUCACCAGCCUUUGAGGCAUCUUGCCAUAAUCCAUCACGUUCCAAACAGCCUGGGCAGAUGGUAGCCAAGCCAGGCUUCAGGCAUGGCAAAGACAUCUGUUCCUUUUGCAACAGAAUUUCUACUCCUCCUCCAUAGAGUUCCACAAGCUCCUGAUGUGAGAACACUUUGAGCAUCUUCCUCUGGAUGAAAAGUGUCCGUGUAUACUUUAGAUGGAACUACGUCAGCUGGAAUAUAAAUGCAAUGUGAAACCGGACCACCACCACUACCUGGGGCACUAGAUGAAUGUUCUAUCUUGUCUUAAGAGUGGGCACUGUACUAUUAAUGGACUGCGAUCUAGGAGAUUGUGAAAAUGCUGCCUCCUCUCCAAAGGCACUAGCUGCCUUUAGGCACCCUCUCCCCCAUUUGAAAUACUGGCCUAGCUUACAGGGCUGUCAGAGUUAACUUGGUUUGGGAGAAAGAGUCUGAACACUGAACUGCUGCGUAACAGCAAAUUAUUUCCGUUCCUCUGCAGUUCUGUUGUCAUGUGCUAAUGGAGAAGGGAGGCUGGGCAUCCCUUGACUCCAGCUCACCAUCAAGUCUUGAUGUGCUUCUAAUUACUGCUCCCUGCCCAGCUGUAGGCUUAUGGGCUGUCUUCAGGAAGGGGAAGAUGAAAGAGGAGCUGCUAUUCUGCAGCUGAUCAGACCUGUUUGUUUGGGUAACUGCCAUUUCUUAAUAGACUGUAAUGCUUAAGAUGAGCAAAUGCAUACAAAGAAGCAGCUAUUGACUUUACAGAAACAGGAGGCUAAUAGAGUCAAUGGUCUUUCCUGUGGCAAUGCCAAAACCUCCUAAUCUCUUCCUUUCAUUCUGACCCAGUGCUCAGGCCACAACAGUUUCCUCCAGAAAAAUGGAGGUCUUACUCACACAAAGAGAACAAAAAGGAACAGGAACAUGUGCAAAGGAAAGGGAUGUAAAGGACAGUUCUGAGGAGCAUAUGGUGCUUUGAGUGUUGGAGUGGCAACCUGGAAGAUCUGAGUUCCAGUCGCUACUUGGCCACAAAGCUUGCUGGGUGACUCUGGCCCAGUCACUCACUCUCAGUCAAACCCACCUCAUAGUGGUGGUGUUGUGAGGAUAAAAUGAAGUCGAAGAGGAUGGUAAGUCCCUUGGCUUCCCUGCAAUGUAGGAAUAAUAGAACAACAAUAUCAAAUUAAAUACAGAGAUUGCCUACGGAAAUGGCUGGACCAUUGCAUGGUAAGGCAGUUAAAGCAAAACUACAAGAGGAAAAAGAGACUGCAGAGAAGCUGGAUGCCUGCUUUGACUCGCCUUUGCUGCAGAAGGUGUACAGCAGAGUCCCAGGCCUGAAUGGAGCUCUUCAGGAAGGGUGCCUGCAGAACUGAAGCAAAUGGUGGGAGCACAUGAUGUUGCAGAACAGGGUUGGCAACUUGGGGCCUUCCAGAUGUUUUGGCCUAAAGUUUCCAUCUUCCCUUAUCAUUGGCUAUGAUGGCCAGGACCAAUAAGAGCUUGAAGCAAAAAUAUGGGGGGAGGUGCACAGGUUUCUCACUCCUAAUAUAUACCUUAUCAACAAAUUCAGUAAGGUUGAGAUGGUAUCUACCAGAGUUCUUCAAGAAUUCAAAUGCUGAAACCACUGAACUUCUAAACAUGUAAUAUCCCUAAAAUCAGCUUCUGUCUCAGAAGUCUUAAAACUUUGCCAGUUAUAAUACCAAUUUUUGAGGAAUGGAUCCAGGGUAGAACCAGGAAAUUACGGGCUGGUCAGUUUAAAAGCUGUUCUCAGUGCACUGAAGUGUCAUUAUUAUUAAAAUUACCAAUCAUAUAAAACUUUCUCAACUUUAGGUGCCCUCCAAAAGUUUCAGCCCGCAACUCCUAGCAUUCCCGGCCAUAGACCAUGGUGGCUGAGUCUGAUGGGAGUUGAAAUCCAAGAUAUGUGGAGGGCACCAGGUUGGAGAAGGCUGAUAUAGAAGGGAAAGACUUGCUGAAGAAGAGUUAAUAUGGAUGUCGCAAAGAUGACUCUCUAGAAUAAUUUGAGAAUGUCAAUAAGCAUGUGGACAGCUGUCAUUUGAAAGACCAUUGAUCAAUUUCAAAGGCUACUGGAAAGAUCCUUUAUCUUCACCCACAUCCCCCAAAACACCCAAAUAAGCUUAGUAGUAAUGAAAUAAGGAAAGACCUCUUACAGAGAACAGGCUAAACAACAGAAGUAACCAGAAUUAGAAUGAAUGGAGAGUUCUUGCAACGGAGAGACUUAGGGCUGAGCAGUGAGGUGGACAGCUUUGUUGACAACACCAGGUAACUUAAAGUGGGUUAAAGGGGGCUCUAAAAGUUGUAACACUGGCCCACCUACUUCAAAAUGGUACGUACUUUCUGGCAGUGCCUCUUGAGAAUUUCUGAUGAGUUUCCCAGUCCAAGUUGGAGGUGCCAGGUAUUGAACCGGUUGUGGCCCAGUUCAUACACUAACCACCCCGCAACUUGCACACAAUACAUAUACUUGCAUGGUAACUCCCAUAAUGACUGACCAGCCCCAGAGCUUCAUCUUUUAUAGCAAGCCAUUUCAUGACAAUGACAAUGAGUGUGAAGAAAACAUUAAGAACAAGGCUGCAGCCAUGGGCAUAACUUUAUGGAAGUGGCACCACGUCUUGUUCGGGGUCACACCCUGCCGCAUGCCGCAGCUGCCCGUCAGUGGUUCUAGUUGCCAGCCUUAGCUGCAGUCCAUUUAGGGCAUGAUAUGAGAAUGAGUGCAAGACAUCUGGAUGGGGCUUGGUCAGGCAGCACAUUCUUGGCCUGGGCACCGUAUGGCUGUCUCUCUCUCCUUUGGGAGCCUGCUGCCUUUCUCAGCACACUUGCCUCCGAGUCUAGGUCAGACUGCAUCUUGGUCUGUCGCAUAUUGUAAUCAGCUAAUUGUGGUUUGCAGAGGAGCAGUAGAACAAUACAUGUGCUGUAGAUGCAGGACAAGUCGAAGCUGUACAAAUCUUGGAAGUAAGGCAAACAAACAAACAAAAAACAAAAGCCCUUGUGACAUUGGAUCGGGGUGUGUCUGUGUGAUGGGGAAGGUUUCCUAACAAGCUGACCACCCUGUUAAGAGUGAAGGGUAGUGUUUAAAACAUGCCCUGAAAAUCGACAGGGUAUGCCCUUUGUAGCUGGUAACCUAUCUCAGUUUUAUCUAGCAAAGAGCAACUCUCCAGGUUGUAAUCCCUCAUCUACAAUGACAGUGCAAAGAUCUUUCCAUUUCUGCAUGUGACUGAGAGCCAAUGUCUUUUGUGUUCAUAGACUGUCAUGUUGCAGCACCAGCCCAGCUGAAUCAGACUAAAGGCAGACCUAGUCAAGCACUCUGUUUGCACAGGUAGCCAACCAGCGCCUGUGAGGAAGCCCCCAAGUGGGAAACGAGUACAACAGGGCCCUCCCACACUACUCUCCAACAACUGGAACUGCAAUGGAAUAUCGUACAUAAUUAAGACCUUUGACUCUUCGAGCAGUCUUGCAAAUGGUGAAGGGGAAACCCCUACAUGUGGGUAAAUAUGAAGAAAAUUACAUGCACCCCUUUCCAUGAAGCUCAUUAUACAAAUUCACUCCUUGGUAUUUUCUGAAUCCUAGCUAAUCUGGCCUACCCGUAGAAAAGCCACUGAAGUUUGUGCUCCUUUUCACUGCUCCUUCUUUGAGGAAGAACAAAAUCCUUGGUCAGGCAAAUUUCUAGAGUAUGUUACAAAGAUGUAUACUGUGUUUUAUUUAUAAAAUGACUGGAAGGUUCAGAGAAGCCUUUAGUCUCGGCUUAACUGCAUCAGUGGGAACAAAUAUUCCUAUUUGGUGUCUAGUGCAACAGUAUCUGUGGGGAAUUUCUUUUGAAUUGUUGUGAGUGGCCUGCCUUGGGGAUUUUAAUCUCCGUACCAUGAAUGAAUCAUUAAUAACGUCAGUAGAUCAACUGUUGCAUUUUGCUGUUCAAAACCAGUUGGGCCACAUAUUUCUAGACUAUCCCCUUUCUACAGUUGGUUGUGAGUAAUUUUCAUUGCUAUGGCUACCAUUUUAAAAAGUGUUAACGGUAGGUGUGUUCACAGUCAUCGUAUGUGUGAAUCUUGGCAACCCACAACCCCUUCUGGAUAUUUUAGGUUUACAAUAUUUGCAAUAAGGCUUAGAACUGGUGUGCUAAUAUUGAAUCUGUUUUGCUCCUUUUGUGCAAAUAAAGAAUGCUUCACAAUGA